rnacentral:lncRNA from 1 species
GUAAACACGGUUAUAGAUUAUAGUUAAUGUAUUUUAUAGAUAUAAUGAUAACAGUGUAAGUCAUUAAUACAGAUUGAUACUUUUCUAUUCAAGUCGAAAAUGUUCAGUUUGGGCCAUGCCUAGCUGAGUUUGCAAUGUAAACACGGUUAUAGAUUAUAGUUAAUGUAUUUUAUAGAUAUAAUGAUAACAGUGUAAGUCAUUAAUACAGAUUGAUACUUUUCUAUUCAAGUCGAAAAUGUUCAGUUUGGGCCAUGCCUAGCUGAGUUUGCAAUGUAAACACGGUUAUAGAUUAUAGUUAAUGUAUUUUAUAGAUAUAAUGAUAACAGUGUAAGUCAUUAAUACAGAUUGAUACUUUUCUAUUCAAGUCGAAAAUGUUCAGUUUGGGCCAUGCCUAGCUGAGUUUGCAAUGUAAACACGGUUAUAGAUUAUAGUUAAUGUAUUUUAUAGAUAUAAUGAUAACAGUGUAAGUCAUUAAUACAGAUUGAUACUUUUCUAUUCAAGUCGAAAAUGUUCAGUUUGGGCCAUGCCUAGCUGAGUUUGCAAUGUAAACACGGUUAUAGAUUAUAGUUAAUGUAUUUUAUAGAUAUAAUGAUAACAGUGUAAGUCAUUAAUACAGAUUGAUACUUUUCUAUUCAAGUCGAAAAUGUUCAGUUUGGGCCAUGCCUAGCUGAGUUUGCAAUGUAAACACGGUUAUAGAUUAUAGUUAAUGUAUUUUAUAGAUAUAAUGAUAACAGUGUAAGUCAUUAAUACAGAUUGAUACUUUUCUAUUCAAGUCGAAAAUGUUCAGUUUGGGCCAUGCCUAGCUGAGUUUGCAAUGUAAACACGGUUAUAGAUUAUAGUUAAUGUAUUUUAUAGAUAUAAUGAUAACAGUGUAAGUCAUUAAUACAGAUUGAUACUUUUCUAUUCAAGUCGACAAUGUUCAGUUUGGUUAUUUAACAAAUAUUGUAUGCCGGCUUGUUUUUCUAUACUGAGCUUAUCCACUAGAUAAACCAAACGGGCUUCGUACAAGAGCCCCCUUAAAUUCCAGUUUCCUUCUGAUUUACGUCCUUAAAUUCCAGUUUCCUUCUGAUUUACGUAGUCAUUGUGUACUUCAUUUAAAUCACUGUAUAAGUGAUCAUCAUUUUCUUCCUUCCCAGUCAUUUUGAGAGCUUUAUACGACUGUUCAUUUUCCACUUGUUCAUAAUUUGCAUCAUCUUGGAUUUUGUCAGGAUUUUCAUAAAUAUCUUUUGAACUAUUUUUGUCCUUGCUCUUGUUCUCCGGGUUUGACUUUGAUGACUUGAGUCGACGUAUUUGAUGGAUGAAAUAAGCAAGAAUAACAAGCAAAAUUAUCACGAGAAUUGCUAACACUAUAAUUCCAGCAAGAUAUGUUUCACCAUCUUCUGCACCU